GACGAACGCUGGCGGCGUGCCUAAUACAUGCAAGUAGAACGCUGAAGGAGGAGCUUGCUUCUCUGGAUGAGUUGCGAACGGGUGAGUAACGCGUAGGUAACCUGCCUGGUAGCGGGGGAUAACUAUUGGAAACGAUAGCUAAUACCGCAUAAUAGUAGAUGUUGCAUGACAUUUGCUUAAAAGGUGCAAUUGCAUCACUACCAGAUGGACCUGCGUUGUAUUAGCUAGUUGGUGAGGUAACGGCUCACCAAGGCGACGAUACAUAGCCGACCUGAGAGGGUGAUCGGCCACACUGGGACUGAGACACGGCCCAGACUCCUACGGGAGGCAGCAGUAGGGAAUCUUCGGCAAUGGACGGAAGUCUGACCGAGCAACGCCGCGUGAGUGAAGAAGGUUUUCGGAUCGUAAAGCUCUGUUGUAAGAGAAGAACGAGUGUGAGAGUGGAAAGUUCACACUGUGACGGUAUCUUACCAGAAGGGGACGGCUAACUACGUGCCAGCAGCCGCGGUAAUACGUAGGUCCCGAGCGUUGUCCGGAUUUAUUGGGCGUAAAGCGAGCGCAGGCGGUUAGAUAAGUCUGAAGUUAAAGGCUGUGGCUUAACCAUAGUACGCUUUGGAAACUGUUUAACCUGAGUGCAAGAGGGGAGAGUGGAAUUCCAUGUGUAGCGGUGAAAUGCGUAGAUAUAUGGAGGAACACCGGUGGCGAAAGCGGCUCUCUGGCUUGUAACUGACGCUGAGGCUCGAAAGCGUGGGGAGCAAACAGG
rnacentral:rRNA from 1 species